rnacentral:rRNA from 1 species
CCUGUGACAUACCUAUAACGUUGCCUCGGCGGGAACAGACGGCCCCGUAACACGGGCCGCCCCCGCCAGAGGACCCCCUAACUCUGUUUCUAUAAUGUUUCUUCUGAGUAAACAAGCAAAUAAAUUAAAACUUUCAACAACGGAUCUCUUGGCUCUGGCAUCGAUGAAGAACGCAGCGAAAUGCGAUAAGUAAUGUGAAUUGCAGAAUUCAGUGAAUCAUCGAAUCUUUGAACGCACAUUGCGCCCGCCAGUAUUCUGGCGGGCAUGCCUGUUCGAGCGUCAUUACAACCCUCAGGCCCCCGGGCCUGGCGUUGGGGAUCGGCGGAAGCCCCCUGCGGGCACAACGCCGUCCCCCAAAUACAGUGGCGGUCCCGCCGCAGCUUCCAUUGCGUAGUAGCUAACACCUCGCAACUGGAGAGCGGCGCGGCCACGCCGUAAAACACCCAACUUCUGAAUGUUGACCUCGAAUCAGGUAGGAAUACCCGCUGAACUUAAGCAU